GGGCUGGGGCUCAGAGGCAGAGCGCUCGCCUUGCAUGCGGGAGGCACUGGGUUCGAUCCUCAGCACCACG
rnacentral:tRNA from 1 species